CAGUAGCGCGGUAAUACGUAGGUCCCGAGCGUUGUCCGGAUUUAUUGGGCGUAAAGCGAGCGCAGGCGGUUAGAUAAGUCUGAAGUUAAAGGCUGUGGCUUAACCAUAGUACGCUUUGGAAACUGUUUAACUUGAGUGCAAGAGGGGAGAGUGGAAUUCCAUGUGUAGCGGUGAAAUGCGUAGAUAUAUGGAGGAACACCGGUGGCGAAAGCGGCUCUCUGGCUUGUAACUGACGCUGAGGCUCGAAAGCGUGGGGAGCAAACAGGAUUAGAGACCCCUGUAGUCCCUGUCUCUUAUACAC
rnacentral:rRNA from 1 species